ensembl:lncRNA
AGGACCGUGGACAGCAACAUUUCCCACCGGACACGAAGUUUGUCGGCCCUUGCCUUGGCAGAGCUGAGCAGGCAUUUUGGAGAUCAAAGAUGGGUAGAAAAGAUGCUUCUACUAUAAAACUUCCUGUUGAUCAGUACAGAAAACAAAUUGGUAAACAGGAUUAUAAAAAAACUAAACCUAUUUUACGAGCAACCAAAUUAAAAGCAGAAGCAAAGAAAACAGCAAUAGGCAUAAAGGAAGUUGGCCUUGUACUUGCAGCUAUAUUGGCGCUACUACUGGCUUUCUAUGCUUUCUUUUAUCUCAGACUCACCACAGAUGUUGACCCUGAUCUGGACCAAGAUGAAGAUUAGCUAAGCAGCAAUCAAUGCAUGAAAGAGAAAUAACUUUAUGAAAGCACCCUUUGGGACCAAAACUUUCAAUACUGAACCUGUAACAUCUUUAAUUCUUUCUGCUAAUAUUUUCAGUUUGCAGACAUAUGAUUUUAAAUAGUUGCAUAGGAUAUCAAGAAAAGAACCUUACCUAGCAAUGCAGUAUAAUAUGUGCUACUAGAUACUUUUAUAUAUCUUUCUACUUUGACAGCCACCCUAUACAUGAUACAUUUAGAUGAAAUGGAAACCAGAUCCUAAAUGUUUCAAAUGUCAUUGCCAAUUUAUGUAUAUAAUUCCAUCACUUCCAGAUUACUAAGUCUGUUUUUGUUCUAUAUACAUCAUAAUUUAGUAUAUAUUCUUAUUUACAGAAACAUACUCAAAUCACAUUCAGAAAGAACAAAAAGUCAUGGGAAAUUUUUUAUUUUCCGACAAAGCCCUGCUCUCUUUCUGGAAGUAUUUUAUAUCAUUAGAGAGACUAUCUGCACAUACAUCUACAGUAAUCUUUUUCCUUCUUUGCCAACUGUUCAUUGCACAUGUGCUCCAUCAGAAAUGGCACCUGGAUGACAGAAGCUCAAAGAGUCACAUAUGUCUCUAAAAUAGAGUUCUUUUCCUCUUGGGCUGUCUGAACUGGUGUAAAUAGAAAGUUCAGUUGAUCUUGGUUUUAAUUAACUUAUUACUCUAUUAAUAUAACCUUGGAAUUCUAUUUUAAUUAUGUUGUUCUGGCUGCUUGUAGUAUCAGUUUGCCCCUCUUGUUAAGGAGAUAUGUAACAAUCUGUCAUUUAAUUGUGCCGUCUUUUUCACAUAACAGUAAAAGCAAAAAUCCUACCUACUCAGAAUCAUCUUCUUAGGUUGUCUCCUAAAUCUGAACAAUACAGUGGUUUUAUAAAAUUACAUUUUGUCUCUUGAGAGUUAAUCAAUUAGAACUCUUUAGGGAGAAAAUAAAUAAUAGAAGAAAAUAUAUGCCUCAUAUUACUUUCAUAUGUAAUUAUCUGUUUAUAUAAUUUUUCAAUGUAUUUUGCAUUUGUGGGAGCAUAAUGACCUGUGCAUUCAAUAUUUUUACUGGUAAUUCAAUUUUUAAAUAUGUUUUUACAACAUGUGAACACAUAAAGUGUAGAAAA